CACAAACUGCAGACCCUCACACACACUGCACCACAUGAUAAAGGCAAAAGGCGCAAACAACAACAACAACAGCGCCACAUGCACUAAUUCACCAUCAAGAAAUACUCCAGAAUACUGCUAAGAAACUUUGUACUACAGAUGUGCAGCUUCCAAGGCACCCUUAUUCCUCCUAAUGAGACAACUCUGAAGAGUACACAGAUCAAUACGGACACACUGGUUACUGUAGUACGUUUAAUUUCCUGCUGUGGAAAGAUGUAUUGUCUUCACCCCGUGCGUAUCCCGUGCCCCGUCUCUCCUUCAGCUCUAAACCUCACACUGUGGUUUUUUUUUUCUUCUUCUUCUUUUUCUGAACAAACAGAGAAGCUGUCCUAGACGAGAUGAGUCAGUGCAGCUGGGGUGCAGGUCAUUUACCCGCAGCCCACUCAGAUGGGACAGAUGGCUCAGCCAGUCGCAUGCUGCUUCGUGUUAACUGUGCACCCAGAGCUAAGCUAAAGCUAACGCUGAGUGCAACGAGUUCAGCUAAUCACAGAUCUAUAUGUAAAGGUGAAAACUGCACAGGUGAUGAUGCAAUAGCUCAAGACAGGAGAUACAAUGUUUACUUGUUUACUUGACUGUAGUUUAGGGAGGUACUGAGUUUUCUUUUUACAACAAAGGUCAUGUGUGAAAUCUUGACACAGCACGGCUCAGUUAUGGUUACAUGUUUGAGGCUGAGGUUUGAAAUUGACAAUAAAUUCAGCACAGAUGGAUUUAAAUUUAGGGAGAAAAAAACAGGAUAUAGCUGAAUACAAAUGUGGCACGGUUUGUGCACAGAACAACCAGGAAGCUGACUUUCAGAUUGCAUGUUUCACUUUUUUUUCUUGUUUAUUUUACCGUGUCCCUUGUUCUCCAGUGUGGUUUGGAUCAUGACGAUGACAAAACAGCCACGCCAAGAGUGAAAGCAGCUUUGCAUUGUGACAUUAAUGUUAAAGGAUAUUUCUGGUGUUACCUAUAAAUGUGGCCGUUGUGACUCUGUGAGUCUUUACUUGACACACUCUGUCUGUGAUUCAGAGAUUGGGGGGAUCAAGAAUUUAUGCAAAACACAUGAUUUUUAAUAUCACCUUUUUUUCCCCCCACCACUUGUCUAUUGAGUCUGACCUAAAGUAAACACAGUAAGUAGCCACCCUGGAAGAGACGUUACUGUGAACUGUGUUAGAGAUUAAAUUUAAAGGCAGCGUCUUAUAAUAACUGUUCUUAGGAUGACAUAUUAAUGCUUACUAACAUUUGUGCUGUUGUUCAGCACAGCACAAAUAAAUUUCCCUGGAUUCUCACAGUCAUAAUUUAUUUAGAACUAGAGUAUUCUCCAGCAGCCCCCGUUUUCCUCCAAAACAGGAAAGUGAAUGGGAUUUGUUUGCAUGCUAUGUGUGCAGAUGUUUUGAUUGUGUGCAUAUGCAGCACUUUUUCUUUCUUUUUUUCUUUUGGCUAGUUGGCAGUUCAACUUUAAUGUUACUAGUUGGAGAGCUGCUAAUGCUUGGACCUAAAGUUUCUAGUGUUUGGGGUCGACGUUUUUUAAUUUGUAGUUUUAGGAGUUUGUUUAAUUCACAGCACGUUAAUGAAAUGUUAACUGUUCUUUCCCAGUGUUCUGUCUUUGGCUGUUUCGCUGAGUCAGCUUUGCAACACUGUUUUUUUUUUUUUUUAUGUUUUGUCUUUUAAAUAAAUCAGCAGUUUGAGGCUUAGGUAUGUUAUGAGUCAGUUGGACUGAAACUUGUCUUUGGUCUGUUGCUUGACUUCAGUAAUGUUACCAAUUGUGAGGAUUAACAUUACCUUUACUUGGAUUGCUUUUAGAGCUGGUACUUUUAGUUCCUGGUAUUUUAUUUAUUUGUCUUUUGACACCACAUACAUUCAAGUUUAUUUUUCUGCUGGCAAUCCAGAUUUACAUGCCCUCAGGUUCACAACUUUGGAACCAUUAAGCCCACCAGUAGUAGUGGUAGUAGUAGUAGUAAGGUGUAUUUUGGUCUUUUUUCCUCUGGUUUGAGCUUUUGGCUGCUCUCACUAAAGUAGUGGUAAUAAAAGCACUGCUUAUUUGUUUCAGUCAGAGGGUGCAGCCCUUCAGCAUAGUGUUGUAAUCAGUUAUUGUAAGUGUCCUGUUGGCCUCCUGACAAUUGACUUUGGUACACUGCAUUUAAUAUGCAAAAUAGUCACAACUUGUUCUUGCAUUACCACUGAUCGGCACACAUUAAACACUGACAAACUCUCCCUGAAGCAGAAAUAACUCUUCACAUGUUGUCCAACAGAUUUAUUAGUGAGACGGCACACCUGACUGUGUCCUGAACAAACAGCCUUAUGUAAUAUCCCGACUGCCUAUGUGCAACUGUAGAUUCACAUAGGCCUUCCUUUCUGUCAUUUACCAUUAGACAUAUGGAGGAGUUUAAGUAUGCAGCUUAACAGCCUGUGAUGAGAGUACAUUUGCAUUAGCAAUUAGGGCACUUAAAGGCCUUUAAAGCUACAUUAAGCUAUCUAAACCAUGAAGCACAAUUAGCCUUUUAAGCGUAGUAAAGCUGGAGUUGCUGGAGCUUGAGUGUCAUUGGCAGGGUGCUUCACUAGCAGCUAUUUUCACAAAUUCAGAGUAAUAAAUUACAUCAAAUUCUUGUACUCUGAACUAUUUCAGCAUGCAGUCAGGUUUGGCAGCAGCAGGCAAAAGCACAUAGCUCAGAAGUGUGUAUUUAUUUAAAUCCUACUGCAUUUGGGAGCUUAGUCUUUAAUCAACACACUGUGGUAUCAUUUUGGUUCAGUCAUUUCUUCCUCUAUUAUGGACUUUGGCAUAGCUUGAUAACUAGCAAUACUUUCCCCAACUAGCUUAUUUCAUGUGUUGGCAUAGAAGUAAGAUGCUGAAAUAUUACACAAGCAAAUGCCAACAAGCUGAAACAGGGGAUAGUGUCAGCAUCGAUACCAAUCAAUGCCUAAAAGGCAUAGUUUGUCUAAUUUGCUUCCAGUGCAGUGGGAAUGUUUCCAGACUCCUUCAAGUUUUUUCCACUUUCCACAUAAACAAGCUCAAACUGCCUGUGUUGGGUUAACAUACUACAAAAUAAAAGACUGACAUUUCUGAAAAAACAAAAAAGAAAAAGGGAUGAAUAAAGCAAAAGCUACAGUUCGUCGUAGGCUGCAGCCUCCACCAUCAGAGGUCUGCAGGUGCAGGCUGGUUUCGUAUAUGCUCUCAGAAGACCAGAAUAGAGAUACAGGUUGAGAGGAGGAGUCCUGGUCCCUCCACAGACCCAUCUAAGGAAUUCCGAUUAUAGCUUGCUCUAGGGUAAAUCAUGUAGCUCUUUCUGACAUCUUGAGAUUAUGUGUUUAGGUAGGCGCUGCACAAUAAAUACAAUCUAGGGUAGGCCUACCCUCUGUUGUGAUUAAUGGUAGAAGAUACAGCUAAUAUCUUCAUCUUCGUCUUUCACCAUUUCUCUCUUUGUGGACUUAAAUAGGACUUUAACAUUCGCAGAUUUCCCCCCACUUUAUGCCCUUUCCCCACUUCUCUCCCCCACCCUUGCCUCCGUCAUUCUCAGUGAUGUUGGGUCAGGAGGGCUCUGACGGCAGCGUGACUCCACUCAGUUGGCAUCUCUUUUCAAACUUCCCACCCUCCCUUCCUGUGUCAUCAUCUUAGUGAGCCCCUCAAUGCCCCCUCUGUCUACCCCUAGUAGGCUCCAGGCCCUGGGUGGGCAAAUGGAGGGUCUCUUCCUGUGUCCCAUCCUAUCAGAAGGCUUACUUGGAGAAAACGGGGUGAGGGAUGAACCGCGGGUAGCAGGCACAGCUGCCAUGCCAAGGGAGCCCUCCCCAUCCCGAUCCAGCAUCGUCCUAUGCUGUCCCAUUCCCAGCCCCGGAGCCACGAACACUAGACUUCUACAAGCUGAAGCGGGCUCUGUGAUCGUUGGGUGAACUUAACAGUUCAGACUAGGAUGGUGAUUUAGAGAAUGCUGCAAUAGACAUGCAGAGAUCAUGCAGUUAUUAGGCACUGCAAGCAGUCUUAGAUCAACUUGGAUUUAGCCAUGAAUUGAACAAAGCAGCAGCUACUAUGGACUAUACAAACCACAAAGCAGGACUAAAGACCCCAUCUUAGUCUUCAUCAGCAUCCACAGGAGGUGGGUAAUGGUGGGCAGCAAUCAAUUGGCCUUGCACUCUUGUGUUGUUGUGCUUGUGUUGACAAUUUUGUCUGUGUGAUGUAUAUGCACUAACGACAAGGAUGUGCAGAAUUUUUAUAUAUUUUGUUUUCUUUUUCAUCUGAUAUUUUAUUGGAGGUAACAUCACCCGUCCUAAGACAAUUACUUGUAGCAUUGUUGUAUUCAAUUUACGUAAAGUUAAAAUCCACAGGAAACUCAUGUCUAGUACCUGACUACACUGUCGCUCCCCAUGCACUUUUAAAAAAGGAACACUUAAUGUUUUUAACACACUUAGAUCUUAAAUCGUUUCAAUCUGGUAGGAGGUAAAUGAGAAAUGUGAUUACUGACCACUGCAUGGAUUUUAACUGCUUUGUUGCAGUUCCUGCGAAUAUAUUCCACAGUUGGUUGCACUGAUUUGAUUUUUACUUCUUUCAUGUUGUCUUGUGUGCAUAAACAUGAUUAUGCAUCCAUGCCAGUGACAUGAGGUGUGAGUGAGGAGCUUUGUGAGGAGCUGGCCGUCAGGGAUGCGAAGACCCUGGGUGGUGUUUUCAUUUGUGUGUUAUUAACUAUGUAGGUGUUUAUUUUUAUUCAUAUGCCUAGGGCUGGCUGGGCGAUGCAGAUCUUUGGUAGAAAACAGUGCGAGUGUUUAUAAUUGUGCAUAAGAAAAACUGUGUGAAAUCCCACAGAUGGAGGAGAGAUGCUCUAGCUACCACACAGCUUGUCCUCCUAGAACCACUUCAGUCUGUGACCAUGCUAAUGUGGCAGUGCAGAAACACUGCGCACGGAUUCAUGGCAACACUAACUACUGCUUUUAACUGUGGCUGGCCCAUAACACAGUAUUGCGUAUGGGUUUAAAGCUGGCUUUUGUGUUUGCAUCUGUUGUUAUACUGUAAAUACAUAGUUUGAAAUGAUUAUAUUUUAACAAUCUGUCCCAGGACUGAAUCAUAAAUCUUUUAACUGAUAUAAUAACUCAGUACAUUUUCAGUACUUUUAUUCUCUGGACAGGUGCUUUAACAUAUUUAUUAUCAUUUAUUGUAAUAAAGGACUUCAAGUGUGUUUUUCAAACAGAAGGCACAUUUUUGUUAAGAUGGGUUAUCAGUAACAUCUCAUGCUGUUGUUGGAUGUUUGAGUCGUCAUUGUGCAGGAAUUGCAGAUGUUGUCUGCUUGUGUGACAUAUUUGUCUGUUGUUAUUAUUAUAAUUUUCUUUCAUGACGUAAAUUAUCGGUCCUGUGUAUAUUUUCACCGGGAGGAGGCCCCAGGGCAGACCCAGGACACGCUGGAGAAAUGAUAUCUCUCGGCUGGCCUGGGAACGUCCUGGUGUUCCCCUGGACAAGCUGGAGGAGGUGGCUGGGGAGAGGGAGGUCUGGGCUUCUCUGCUUAGGCUGCUGCCACCACGACCCGGUCCCGGAUACACGGAAGAAGAUGGAUGGAUGGAUGGUGCAUAUUUUUAAAAAGAACUUUCCUCUGUGGCUGUGAAGCAGUUUUGUGGACCAGGUCUCACUUGCCCGUGUCUUGAGUGUGUACGACUUACUCAGUUGUCAACACUCUCUCCCUGGGCGGGCCUGGCCUCGCUGUAACCCAAGCUCUUGGUCCUUCUGUUC